AGAGUUUGAUCCUGGCUCAGAUUGAACGCUGGCGGUAUGCCUAACACAUGCAAGUCGAACGAGGUAGCAAUACCUAGUGGCGGACGGGUGAGGAAUACGUAGGGAUCUGCCUUUAAGUGGGGGAUAACCCGGGGAAACCCGGAUUAAUACCGCAUGAUCUCGCAAGAGCAAAGUGGGGGAUCGCAAGACCUCACGCUUUUAGAGGAACCUACGUCGGAUUAGCUUGUUGGUGAGGUAAUGGCUCACCAAGGCGACGAUCCGUAACUGGUCUGAGAGGAUGAUCAGUCACACCGGAACUGAGACACGGUCCGGACUCCUACGGGAGGCAGCAGUGGGGAAUAUUGGACAAUGGGCGAAAGCCUGAUCCAGCAAUACCGUGUGUGUGAAGAAGGCCUUCGGGUUGUAAAGCACUUUAAGUUGGGAAGAAAAAACUUCAAUUAAUACUUGAAGUCUUGACGGUACCGACAGAAUAAGCACCGGCUAACUCUGUGCCAGCAGCCGCGGUAAUACAGAGGGUGCUAGCGUUAAUCGGAUUUACUGGGCGUAAAGCGUGCGUAGGCGGUUUGAUAAGUCGGUUGUGAAAGCCCCGGGCUCAACCUGGGAAUUGCGGCCGAUACUGUCAGACUAGAAAACGGUAGAGGGAGGCGGAACUCCAGGUGUAGCGGUGAAAUGCGUAGAUAUCUGGAAGAACACCGAUGGCGAAGGCAACCUCCUGGGCCUGUUUUGACGCUGAGGCACGAAAGCGUGGGUAGCAAACAGGAUUAGAUACCCUGGUAGUCC
rnacentral:rRNA from 1 species